rnacentral:rRNA from 1 species
CCUUAUACAUGCAAGUCGAACGAAGUAGCAAUACUUAGUGGCAGACGGGUGAGUAACAUGUAGGUAUCUACCCUUUGGUGAGGAAUAACACGAGGAAACUUGUGCUAAUACCUCAUAAGUCUUUACGGAGAAAGCUUUAUGCGCCGAAGGAUGAGCCUGCACUUGAUUAGUUUGUUGGUGGGGUAAUGGCCUACCAAGACUUUGAUCUAUAGCUGAUCUGAGAGGAUGAUCAGCCACAUUGGGACUGAGACACGGCCCAAACUCCUACGGGAGGCAGCAGUAGGGAAUAUUGCACAAUGGAGGAAACUCUGAUGCAGCGAUGCCGCGUGAGUGAAGAAGGCCUUUGGGUUGUAAAGCUCUUUCGUCGGGGAAGAAAAUGACUGUACCCGAAUAAGAAGG